GUCUUGUCUGCAAACGGCUUCUGAAUAGAUUUCUCCUCUGAGCACUUUUGUGCCAUCAAGUCCUGGAAAAGGCUGUUAAUCACUCACAGAUUCAAUCCAGUUGUGGCAGAAGGGAAACACCAAAAACAUGUAAGCUGCUGCUCAGCAGUUUGACCCAAAGCGAGAGUGAGGCAUGAAGGAACCAACAUGAUGCCAACCAGAGUUCUUCCAUGGACAAUAGACCAUGCUGUUCUGACCAUCAAAAGGAGUCAAAUAUGUUUACAGAUCUAUCCCUGUUUCCUUAAAUAAAUGUUAUAUUAAUGCCAUAUUUUUUAAGCUUGUACACACAUUUUUGGAAAUAUGUUAAUGUCA